rnacentral:rRNA from 1 species
CCUACGGGUGGCAGCAGUGGGGAAUAUUGCGCAAUGGGCGAAAGCCUGACGCAGCGACGCCGCGUGAGGGAUGAAGGUCUUCGGAUCGUAAACCUCUGUCAGCAGGGAAGAACGGUCACUGUGCUAAUCAGCAGUGAAUUGACGGUACCGGCAAAGGAAGCACCGGCUAACUCCGUGCCAGCAGCCGCGGUAAUACGGAGGGUGCGAGCGUUAAUCGGAAUUACAGGGCGUAAAGCGCGCGUAGGCGGUAUGUCAAGUCAAGGGUGAAAUCCCCGUGCUAACGUGGGAACUGCCUUUGAAACUGGCAAACUGGAGUGUGUGAGAGGAUAGUGGAAUUCCAGGUGUAGGAGUGAAAUCCGGAGAUAUCGGGAGGAACAUCAGGGGCGAGGGCGCCUAUCUGGAACAUAACUGACGCUUAGCAGCGAAAGCGUGGGUAGCAAACAGGAUUAGAUACCCCUGUAGUC